rnacentral:rRNA from 1 species
GAUGAACGCUGGCUGCGUGCCUAAUACAUGCAAGUCGAGCGAACAGACGAGUAGCUUGCUCCUCUGACGUUAGCUGCGGACGGGUUAGUAACACGUUGAUAACCUACCUUUAAGACUGGGAUAACUUCGGGAAACCGGAGCUAAUACCGGAUAAUAUAUUGAACCGCAUUGUUCAAUAUUGAAAGACGGUUUUGCUUUCACUUAUAGAUGGAUCCGCUCCGCAUUAGCUAGUUGGUAAGGUAACGGCUUACCAAGGCAACGAUGCGUAGCCGACCUGAGAGGGUGAUCGGACAAAAUGGAACUGAGACACGGUCCAGACUCCUAAGGGAGGCAGCAGUAGGGAAUCUUCCGCAAUGGGCGAAAGCCUGACGGAGCAACGCCGCGUGAGUGAUGAAGGUAUUCGGAUAGUAAAACUCUGUUAUUAGGGAAGAACAAAUGUGUAAGUAACUAUGCACGUCUUGACGGUACCUAAGCAGAAAGCCACGGCUAACUACGUG